GGAUUAGAUACCCUGGUAGUCCUAGCCGUAAACGAUGGAUACUAGGUGUAGCACGUAUCGACCCGUGCUGUAUCGGAGCCAACGCGUUAAGUAUCCCGCCUGGGGAGUACGCGCGCAAGCGUGAAACUCAAAGGAAUUGACGGGGGCCCGCACAAGCGGUGGAGUAUGUGGUUUAAUUCGAUGCAACGCGAAGAACCUUACCAGGGCUUGACAUGUCGCGAAGCCUUCCGAAAGGAGGGUGUGCCGAAAGGAACGCGAACACAGGUGGUGCAUGGCUGUCGUCAGCUCGUGUCG
rnacentral:rRNA from 1 species